rnacentral:rRNA from 1 species
ACGAACGCUGGCGGCGUGCUUAACACAUGCAAGUCGAACGGAAAGGCCCUGCUUUUGUGGGGUGCUCGAGUGGCGAACGGGUGAGUAACACGUGAGUAACCUGCCCUUGACUUUGGGAUAACUUCAGGAAACUGGGGCUAAUACCGGAUAGGAGCUCCUGCUGCAUGGUGGGGGUUGGAAAGUUUCGGCGGUUGGGGAUGGACUCGCGGCUUAUCAGCUUGUUGGUGGGGUAGUGGCUUACCAAGGCUUUGACGGGUAGCCGGCCUGAGAGGGUGACCGGCCACAUUGGGACUGAGAUACGGCCCAGACUCCUACGGGAGGCAGCAGUGGGGAAUAUUGCACAAUGGGCGGAAGCCGGAUGCAGCAACGCCGCGUGCGGGAUGACGGCCUUCGGGUUGUAAACCGCUUUCGCCUGUGACGAAGCGUGAGUGACGGUAAUGGGGAAAGAAGCACCGGCUAACUACGU